UGGCAUCAAUCAUUUAUUUUUUUAAGCAUGUAUUUUAAGAUGCCCUGGGUUCAAUUCAAGUUUGUUAUUUGUGUGUUUAAAACAUAGGCUAUUAUGCUCUCAGCCUUUGGUUAAAUAUUUAAGUUAGCAUUUUAGUGACUUUUUGUUGUUGUUGUUGUUAAGUAAUAUUGGCUUUUAUUAAAUGCAUUUCUACAAAUCAUUUUAAGAGAAACCAUUGAAAAUUAGCAAUGUGAUUUGUAUUUUUUAAGUCAGUGAUAGAAAAUAAAAGAACAAGGGGACACCUAUUAAUUAAAAUUCCCAUGCACUCGCAAGACAGGCUAGAAGUUGAUAGAUGCACAGAAGGGAAACUGAUGGAUGCAGGAAGAUGACCCUGUGGGUGUCUUUAAUAAAACUCCACUCUUUGUGUUCAAUUUCUUCUUCAUUUUUAAUGAAGAAUGCAGUUAUCCUAAUGUAAUUACAAUAAUCACAACACUUGCCUCUUCCCCUCCCUCCAUCUAAACCCUCCCAUACACACCCCUUUCUGCCUUUCCAUUUCAUGUCUCUUCUUUCAAACUCACCUCUCCUGUUCCCAGCCUUCCCCGGGUGCCUUCAGUUCCCUGUGGAGGGGUCAGGUCGCCUGGGCUCUUCUCCAUCCACGUUAGCGCAUCCAUUGAUUUAAGUCUUGUAGACUUCUUUUUCUUGCCUUUUAAAAAAUGUAUUCCAUGUGCUUGUGUGUAAGUGUGCGGGUGCACACGUGUGACUGAGCACCUGCCGAAGUCAGAGGACAACUUUUGGGAAUCAGUUUUCUCCUUCCACCAUGUGGGUCCAGGGGUGGAAUUCAGAUUGUUAGUUAGUAUUGGCCGCAGACGCUUUUAUUUCCUGAGCCCAUCUCUCCAGCCUGAUAUCCCUACCCUUUAUUUAUAAAAGUCUCACCUAAGCAUUUUAAGCUAUCUAUUCCUGGGUAUUCUUUGGUUUGCUACAAUUUGUUCAUAUUUGAGCUCUCUGUUUAUUGUUGUUGUUGUUUUAUUUGUUUGUUUGUUUGUUUGUUUGUUUUUCUCUCACUAGGACUAGUUCAGCUCCAUAAACAUCCCAGGGAAAAUACUGGCUCAGUUCCUCUCCUUCUGAGGUGUUGCAGUAGAGGUGAAACUGGCAGUUUAUAAAGCUUUGAACACAGGUCCAUGUAACUGAGUUUUCACCACGUGGCUUGUGGGCUCCGCCUACUCAUUCACUCUUUCAUUUGUAUGUAUACUUGUGUGUGUGCCUGGAUGAGUUUGUGUGUACUCUAUGUGUUCAGGUGCCUGGGGAGACUAGAAGGUAGGUAUCAAAUGCCCUGAAACCAGGAGUUACAGGCAAUUGUGAGCUGUCCGACCUGAGUGCUUGGAACCAAACCUGGUGAUAGGUUAUUUCUCCACUGCCAGUGAAAUGAGCCAAUUUAAGCCAGAUUAGAUUAUAUUAAAGACAGGUUUGUUGGGAAGCUGUUCUUGGGUGAGUUUGCUGGCCCCAAGAAUUGAAGCCAGGGGAGUCACCAUGGGGAGGAGGUGGAAAUAAAGAGAGUUGGGCAGGAAUGUACAGAAAAGAGGUGAAGAAGGAGAAGGAGAAAGAGAAGGAGGAGACACCAAAAUAUCUCAAUUAUAUAGGGAGGAGCCUCUAGGGAAAGGGCAGCCCAGCCCCUGGGCUAGAAAGUUCAGGGUUUGGGGCAGGGUAUCCCAGGUAGGGACUAAGGGAUGCUGGGAGAACCAGAAGGUCUGGUCUGCUUUGAUGUAUAAAAUAUGCACCUCAGUCGCCUGUCCUGGGGUGAGAAACCAAACACCUGGGUCCUCUGCAAGAUCAGUGAAUGCUAUCAACCAGUGAGCUUAGCCUCAUCUUGAAGUAAAAUCAUAAAGCCAGAGGAUGAGACAGUAAUCACACAGUCCAGACUUAACAGGUAAGGAAUACAGUUCCACAUUUUAUCUAGGAUCCAAGAUGUUGGUGAGUUCAAAGCCAGUUGCCUCCUCUUAAACUAAUUUUCCAGUAUUUUGUACAAAGGUAACCUUCUUUAGAGCCCUCUCUGUGCCCGUGGAGAUAGAAAUAAGCCUUUCAAUAGAAAUGUACAGCCUGUGUGAUCCAGUGGGUGAGUGAAGCACACUAGUGACUGUCUUGACUUCUCUGGUCCUGGAGGGAGGAGAGGAGACACUCAGUCACUAACAGCCCUUGGUCCUCUGUAUCAGGCAUAUAGGUUGUGAAGGGGCUGGAAGUAAAUCAAAAGAAGUAAACAGACUCCUGAGAAGUAUAAGUGCUUGAUCUGGGGCUAAAGCGAUGACUUCCUGGUUAAGACUGGCUGCUCUUACAGAGGAGCCAUCUUCUGUUCCCGGCAUCCACAUGGCAGUUCCUAACCAUCUAUCUGUGAGUCCAGUGCCAGGGACUCUGCUGGAACUGGUGAUAGCCUUUCCUGGUCCCUGUGGACACUGCAUUCAUGUAGUAUACAUAUAUACAUGCAGUCAAACAUUCAUACUCACAAAGUAGAAAUAAAUAAAUCUUAAAAGAAAAAACAGUAUUGACCAAAAUCCUAAGCAGACAUGAACCAUACACAGUGCAACGGCAUAUGUGUUAGAUCUCAAACUCUGUGUGAGAAAAGGGUAUACACUUAUGCGUCUCCAUAUAGACCAAGGAUUCCUCUAAGCCAGAGGACGACAUCCAGAGGCUUCCAUUUUUAUCUUUAAAUUUUCUCUUAUUCUAUUUUUACUUUGAUAAUUAACUAAGAUUGUUUAGAAUUGCCAUUAAAAAAUCCACAAAAUUCAGAUUCCAGAUACUAGUACUGUGUGUUAAAAUCUAUAACUACAGUGUUAUAGAUUUUUACCGUCUCCUUAUUUCAAUUUUAUCUGUUCACCCUAGCUUAAAAAAUUUAUGAAAACCAAAUCAUAGUUAUUUGAUAAUUUCAAGAUCCUUUGACUUUGGUAACAUACAUAAACAAUUUUUUUGUCUCAGUUUUAGUUACUCACCUUUUUAAAAUUCUCAUCAAUUUAAAAAUGGAAUUUAAAGCAAUUAUGAUAGGAUAUUAAAUUAUCACUUAAAAUAUUGUAUAUAAACUUUUCAGAAAAAGUUUUGUUUUCAUUUUAACUCUUAAAAUAUAAAAUGCAAAACUGUCACAAAAUUGACUAUACGUAAAAUUAAAUGUAUUUAUAAUAUGUGUGUAAGGACUAUGCAUUUUUUACUAAAAGAAGGAAGUACACCCAAUUGUUAGGCUUUAGUUGACACUGGGAUGCUACAUGCCCUUUGUGUUUGGAUGAGCUUUUAAUAUGCGAGCUGUGCUUUCUCCAGGCCAGUUCGCUGCACCCCGGGCACUCUGUGUGCAGCUUCCUGCAUCCUUUUAUUUUUUCUUUCCUUUCUCAACAUUAAUUGUGGAUACUGUUUCAUCUUAAGCUACUGUCAGGACCAGGUACAUUUGACAGGCUGAUAGAUGCUGCCACGCAUUAGAGCACACAAAACAUGGACCCUCCUGAGCAGACAUUGCGCAUACAUGUCGUAUUUUUAUAAUUUUGCUCUCCAACCACAAGGGUUCUCAGGUUUCAUACUCAAGAUAUCUCAUUAUUUACAUCCAAACACUGAAGGGCUAAAGAGAUGGGUUUAGUGGGUAAAAGCGCACACUGUCUAAGCAGAAGGGUCUGAGUUAGGAUCCCAACAUCUGGGUAAAAAGCUGAACAUAGUUGUGCUUGGGACUGGACAUGCGGCAUGGAGGAGGGUAGAGGCUGCCAGCCUUACUCUAGGUUCAGGGGGAUCCUGUCUCAAGAGAAUAAAGCGGACACCGGAAAUCCUCUUCUGUCUUUUAUACAUACUUCUACAGGUAUGAGCACUCCUGCCCCACAACACGCAUGUGCAUCUACCACACUUAUAUAUACACCCAUGAAGAAAUAAGCAUAUUUGUAUAUUCAAAUUUGAGAAGCUGUAAAAUCUGAAGCAUUCAGAUGAGGGACACACAACUUACAUACUGUAAUAAAUGUGUUGGUGGUGUUUGCUCAUACAGCACUUAUUAUGUAGCAGGUACUUUGCAGCAUAAUGCAUAACAUUGUGAGGUAGGUAGACCGUUAUCAUCUCCAUUAUAGAGAUAUAAAAAUAAUCCCGCAGAGGACAUGCAGUUUGCUCAGGAUCUCACAGCCAUUAGCAGAGGCUCUAAGAAAACACCUCCAAGGCAGUUCUUAAUGCUGGGUAUGUGGAUGUAUGUGGAUGUAGCUGCACUGUGGGAUGGGGAAGAUGGUCAUGAAGUGGUGAACUCUGUCCUAUUUAAAGAGCUGUACUUGAAUAAACUGGACUACAGACCAGAUUUCCUGUUUUGUUUUGUUUUGGUUUUUCCAAGAAACUGCAGAAGUUUGAAUUUUCUGUGCAUGUAACCUCCUAAUUAAAACAUUGAGAUAAUUCAAAGAAAAAAAGAAAUCACUGAUGGACCAAACAAAGAAACAAAUAGUUUCUACUUCUUGAUCCCGCAAGAAACAAAAUCUGAUCAUCCUUUUUGAAGGCACCUCUAGCCAGCUUAAGGUCAACUACAAAUGAACAGAAAGCACUAGACCCUUGCCAAGGCCUACUUGUCUAUUGCCCUCUCCCACUGCUGCUAAGCAUACCUCCCUGCUAACACACACACGAGCAUCCUACUAUAAGUCUAGAGUGCAGAUCUACUGACAGCCAAGCUUGCCUGAGCCAGAGCUCUCUGCCCACAAUGCUUUUAGAGGUCAACAUGAGAAUAAGAAACCACACAGCCACGUGCAAAGGUUGGUCAGUUGGCAGUCGUUUGAAUGGUGGAAUCGUCUUUAAAAAUAUACUAUUGUCCCUUCCAACUUGUUCUUGGUGAAGUAUCAGAUAAAUAAACAGAAAGAAGGACUUGAAAUGCUGAUCGGAAUCUGUGAUUUUUUUCCUCACAAACAAUUUAGUCUUCCCAGAGGAGCUAUACUGCUGCCAUCCCAGCUGCCUGAAGUGUGUAACUAUUUCCCUCAAAGCACGUGGACAGCUAGUUCAGUAAGAUCCCCAGAAACCUUUGCCCAGCUCGCUGCCCAGACAUUAUCAUUACUGCAGCAUCCUUGCAGACAGUCCACAGGCCUAGGAAACUCCAUGAUUUGAAGGCUUUUGUUCUCUUCAGUUGAUUCAUUUGAUUUCUUUCUAGGAAAAAAAAGAAAAAGAAGUUGUCUAUAUAUUUCAUGCUUCCAGUGCUCAUGGGCUAGAGACUUAAAUGUCAACUGGCUGAAAUGGUUGCUUUAAAAAAAAAAAUUCCGGGAAGAUGACUUUCCUAAUGUCAGCAGUUCUGGUUUUUGAACUGACUGGAUCUGUACCCCUGGCUGGCAUUCACACAAAAGCUUCCUACAGCUGGCCUUUCUGUUGCAGAGAUGGGAGCCCUCGCUCACCACCUCACCAUCCCCUCCCAUACCUGUGCCUGGUGGCCUCAUCUCUGUCCCAUCAUUUACAUUGUGUCUGUUCCAUUUCUUCAGCAUAAGCAUGUGAUAUGACACCUCUGCAACCCUGCCAGGAGACUCGGGCGUUCGUUUCUCCCUCCACUGUCUCACCCCCUACGGCGGGCAGCAAACUCAAUCUAUUUAGAGAGCUGUUAAUUAAGUGAACUAAAUGGGGUCAUGUAUAUAUGAACAGAGAAAAUAGAGAGAAAAUGAUAAGUGUGCUCUUUCGAAAGGACUGAGUAAGCUCUAAAGCUCUAUAAAACUUUAAAAAAUAAAAUAAAAUAAAAACCUCAAAAAAACCUCUUUGGAGAGGAUUUUCCUCCACUGUGAUCUCACUUAGGGUUUGGUUUUUUGGUUUUUUUGGUUUUGUUGUUGUUGUUUUUUCCCUGAACCAAGCACAUUUGCUUUCACUGUGCACAGUGGUUUCAGUCUCAUUACAGGUACGUUUGCAUGGUUGGGCAAAAAAGACACAGCCGCACUUCAGAGAAUGCCGAUAUUGUAAGUCCUCACCACUGCACUGUCCAGGGAAAUGCUGCUUCCUUAGAAAGGAUUUGGAAAGUGCACUGCUGAGUCUCAAAGAGGACAACCAAGGAGCAUUACAGCUACAAAUGGUCUGUUUUCAAGGCGAUGACUGGAGAACUGUUUCCCAUUGCGAAUUCGGAUAACAGGAAUUUAUUUAUGCGUCAUGUAUGUACUUACAAGCUAUGUAAGGAGAUGCACGGUGACAGCCAAUUUCUGAGAAUAUGCCUUGUCAUGAUUUCAGCAUAGGAUCUCAUGUAUGGAUAAUGUACAAAGUUGCAGGGAUGAGCCCCAGGGCACUUGGAAGCACCAUCCACAAUAUUAUUGCUCUUUAAUGUGGAAACAUGCUGUAAGGCAGAGCGAGCAAUUCCCAUGUUGCCAUUCACAGGCCCGGCUCUGGACCUUUCGAUUCAUUACACACUAGGGUCUCAUUCCUAAGGCCAAGGAAAGACAUUCACACAGCUUGACACAAUCCUUUAUGGAGCUAGCUGCUGAGGAAAUGAAAUCGCAUGUGGACCCUGAGCACGUUUGUGAAAAGUGGACCGGCAUGUGAUAACGGAUCCACCAAGUCCAAGAUCCAUAGAAGAGUUUUGAGAAAGCUGAGAAAGGACAAGUUUGAAGGCUGGAAUGGGAGCAGAAGGCACCCCUCCCCUCCUGGAAGAGAGAGGUCAUGAAGCAAGUAGGCACCUCUCCCCGUCCCCCUGAAGGGAAUGGCUGAUUACAUUCCUCAGAAAGACCACAGGAGGGACCGACCUUUGGCCACUCACAGAGUGCUCCUGAGGUCUGUAGCUAUGACAAGGUGGGACAUCCUGGAACUUCGGCUGGAAAAAAAAAAAAGGGAGAAAUG